rnacentral:rRNA from 1 species
CGAAAGGAACGCUAAUACCGCAUACGUCCUACGGGAGAAAGCAGGGACCUUCGGGCCUUGCGCUAUCAGAUGAGCCUAGGUCGGAUUAGCUAGUUGGUGAGGUAAUGGCUCACCAAGGCGACGAUCCGUAACUGGUCUGAGAGGAUGAUCAGUCACACUGGAACUGAGACACGGUCCAGACUCCUACGGGAGGCAGCAGGG